rnacentral:rRNA from 1 species
AUUGAACGCUGGCGGCAGGCCUAACACAUGCCAGUCGAACGGUAACAGGAAGCAGCUUGCUGCUUUGCUGACGAGUGGCGGACGGGUGAGUAAUGUCUGGGAGACUGCCCGAUGUAGGGGGAUAACUCCUGGAAACGGUAGCUAAUAUCGCAUAACGUCGCAAGACCAAAGAGGGGGACCUUAGGGCCUCUUGCCAUCUGAUGUGCGCAGAUGGGAUUAGCUAGUAGGGGGGGUAACGGCUCACCUAGGCGACGAUCCCUAGCUGGUCUGAGAGGAUGACCAGCCACACUGGAACUGAGACACGGUCCAGACUCCUACGGGAGGCAGCAGUGGGGAAUAUUGCACAAUGGGCGCAAGCCUGAUGCAGCCAUGCCGCGUGUAUGAAGAAGGCCUUCGGGUUGUAAAGUACUUUCAGCGGGGAGGAAGGGAGUAAAGUUAAUACCUUUGCUCAUUGACGUUACCCGCAGAAGAAGCACCGGCUAACUCCGUG